rnacentral:rRNA from 1 species
CGGCGAUCGGGUGAACUGUGGUUAAGGAACUCGGCAAAUUGCCCCCGUAACUUCGGGAGAAGGGGGACCUCUGCUGGUGAUGGGCUUUACGUUCUGAGCUGGUGGGGGUCGCAGUGGCCAGGGGGAAGCGACUGUUUACUAAAAACACAGGUCCGUGCGAAGUCGUAAGACGAUGUAUACGGACUGACGCCUGCCCGGUGCCGGAACGUUAAGGGGACCGCUUAGCCAACGCGAGUUGGCGAAGGUGAGAACUUAAGCGCCGGUAAACGGCGGUGGUAACUAUAACCAUCCUAAGGUAGCGAAAUUCCUUGUCGGGUAAGUUCCGACCUGCACGAAUGGCGUAACGACUUCCCCGCUGUCUCAACCACAGACCCGGCGAAAUUGCACUACGAGUAAAGAUGCUCGUUUCGCGCAGCAGGACGGAAAGACCCCGGGACCUUCACUACAGCUUGACAUUGGCGUUUGGAACGUCUUGUGUAGGAGAGGUGGGAGACUAGGAAGCUGUCACGCUAGUGAUGGUGGAGUCAUUGGUGAAAUACCACUCUGGUCGUUUUGAACGUCUAACUCUGGUCCGUGAUCCGGAUCGGGGACAGUGUCUGGUGGGUAGUUUAACUGGGGCGGUUGCCUCCUAAAGAGUAACGGAGGCGCCCAAAGGUUCCCUCAGCCUGGUUGGCAAUCAGGUGUUGAGUGUAAGUGCACAAGGGAGCUUGACUGUGAGACUGACAGGUCGAGCAGGAGCGAAAGCUGGGACUAGUGAUCCGGCAUCGGCGUGUGGAAGCGGUGUCGCUCAACGGCUAAAAGGUACCCCGGGGAUAACAGGCUGAUCUUCCCCAAGAGCCCAUAUCGACGGGAUGGUUUGGCACCUCGAUGUCGGCUCGUCGCAUCCUGGGGCUGGAGUAGGUCCCAAGGGUUGGGCUGUUCGCCCAUUAAAGCGGUACGCGAGCUGGGUUUAGAACGUCGCGAGACAGUUCGGUCCCUAUCCGCUGCGCGCGCAGGAGACUUGAAGGGGGCUGUCCCUAUUACGAGAGGACCGGGACGGACGAACCUCUGGUGUGCCAGUUGUACCGCCAGGUGCACGGCUGGUUGGCUACGUUCGGAAGGGAUAACCGCUGAAAGCAUCUAAGCGGGAAGCUCGCCUUGAGAUGAGGUCUCCCACCCCGUGAGGGGGUAAGGCUCCCGGUAGAUCACCGGGUUGAUAGGCCGGAGGUGGAAGCACGGUAACGUGUGGAGCUGACCGGUACUAAUAGGCCGAGGACUUGACCAA